AACCAGACUCCUACGGGAGGCAGCAGUGGGGAAUAUUGCACAAUGGGGGAAACCCUGAUGCAGCGACGCCGCGUGAAGGAAGAAGUAUCUCGGUAUGUAAACUUCUAUCAGCAGGGAAGAAAACAGACGGUACCUGACUAAGAAGCCCCGGCUAACUACGUGCCAGCAGCCGCGGUAAUACGUAGGGGGCAAGCGUUAUCCGGAUUUACUGGGUGUAAAGGGAGCGUAGACGGCAGUGCAAGUCCGGAGUGAAAGCCCGGGGCUCAACCCUGGGACUGCUCUGGAAACUGUAAAGCUGGAGUGCGGGAGGGGCAGGCGGAAUUCCUGGUGUAGCGGUGAAAUGCGUAGAUAUCAGGAGGAACACCGGCGGCGAAGGCGGCCUGCUGGACCGUAACUGACGUUGAGGCUCGAAAGCGUGGGGAGCAAACAGGAUUAGAUACCCGCGUA
rnacentral:rRNA from 1 species